AUUGAACGCUGGCGGCAGGCCUAACACAUGCAAGUCGAACGGUAACAGGGAGCAGCUUGCUGCUUUGCUGACGAGUGGCGGACGGGUGAGUAAUGUCUGGGAAACUGCCUGAUGGAGGGGGAUAACUACUGGAAACGGUAGCUAAUACCGCAUAACGUUGCAAGACCAAAGAGGGGGACCUUAGGGCCUCUUGCCAUCGCAUGUGCCCAGAUGGGAUUAGCUAGUAGGUGGGGUAACGGCUCACCUAGGCGACGAUCCCUAGCUGGUCUGAGACGAUGACCAGCCACACUGGAACUGAGACACGGUCCAGACUCCUACGGGAGGCAGCAGUGGGGAAUAUUGCACAAUGGGCGCAAGCCUGAUGCAGCCAUGCCGCGUGUAUGAAGAAGGCCUUCGAGUUGUAAAGUACUUUCAGCGGGGAGGAAGGGAGUAAAGUUAAUACCUUUGCUCAUUGACGUUACCCGCAGAAGAAGCACCGGCUAACUCCGUG
rnacentral:rRNA from 1 species